AGACUCUAGCUAGCUAGUUAACUUAAUAGCUCAGCUGCCAGAACAGCUGGAAUGCUGCCAAAGGGACUGGAGAAAGCCCUAGUCUGAGCCAUUUUUGUCUUUCUCAUUAAAAAAGUCUAAAAAUAGCAACAGUUUAGACAGUGUCUCUGAGAGCUGUUACAGAUAUGUGAAAAUGAGGCUGCAGACAGAAAAAGUCCAAUGCUGCUGUGUCAGGAACCAAAUUACAGCUGUGUUGCUCUUUGCUAGGUGAGUGCAAGGGUGAAGUGCGUCCAAAGUGCCCAGCAGAAACUCCUCCCAACAUCAGUUUGCCAACAUUGAAUCUGCUAAGUACCAUGUAAACAGCUAUCAUCUAUACAACUGUGAAACAUGUUUACAUGAGAUCAUGUAUGUUUAUUUUUGAACAAGAAAGUAUUAAUUUUCUGUUGAAGUUCAGGUGCCAACUGUUCCACUUUCAUCCGAGCUUCUUUUUGUCCGCACCGAUAAGAAACCCUACCACAAUCUAUCUCUGACUGCUCCUUUUGUUUUUGCCUCCUGCUGUUACACUGACUGUUGAUCUGGCUGAGAAAGUAAAAAUGAAAGCAGUAACUUUAAAGAAAUACCAUGCUUCAUCUGUCCUUUGGAAAAUGAAAAUGUUUUUGAAGAUUAUUGCAAAAAAGAAAAGACAGCAAUCCUUCGUUUUUCCUACCCUGCUGCUAGAGCAGUGAGAAAACCUAUCACCUGCACUGGGCAACAGUGGGAGGCAUCCUGGAGUUUUCCAAGCCCAUGAAAAAACAGACAAUUCAAACACUCUUAAAUUUUAAAUUCAAACAAUCUUUAAAUUUCAAAAUGUGAAAAAAGGGGAGGAAUUACCACGCUUUUGAACAUCAUGCACCAAGUAUAAACUGAUUUAAUUCAUGUAAAACCCCAGCAAAAGAACUUACUGGCAUGCAUAUGCAACUCAAGUUCCAAAAACCUCUGGCUGCUUGCUGCAUGCAUUGUCUAAAAUAGCCGGAGUUACCAAAGGUCCUCCUUAACUUUCCACCUUCAAUUUAUAUUUUUACCCUUGUUUUUAGAAACAUAUUGGUUAUACUAUACCACUGUAUCUUAUCACCUGGACAGAUACUGAAUUUUAUUUUAGGUCAGUCUCCUAUCUGGUAAAACAAAAGCUUUAGCUAAUGAAAUCUAGUAAAAGGCACUUCCAGUGCAUAAUGCAGAUCAAGUGUUACAGCUCCACUCUCCUCCGCCCUGAAAAACAAAGUGCCAAAUAACCUGUGCUGUUUCACUGACUACACAGUCCGCAGCCAAAAUAUCUUCCCAGUUACUUGAAUCUGAAGCUUAGCUCCUUCAGAAGAUGGUAUUGUGAUUUGUGUACUAGGAAAUAGCUUACCUGUGUUAUACACCUUAGGUGGAAGAAUACCUAUCAUCUAUUGAUGUCCAGUAUUGGACAUCCUAAAAUGGAUUUUUUAUGUAAGCACUAUAGCAGUAAUAAUCAAGACCCUACAAGUGUACCCGAAAGAACAAAGGUUGUCUUAAUGAAUGCAAAGACACCUGGCCACUAUAUCAGUUGAUACAGAAUUUCUUACUUGCUAUUCUCCAAUCUUAGAAAUAAGUGCUACAGAAUCAGGGAAGACAGUCAUAUGUGUAAUAUUGAUGAUAAUAACAUGUAUGAAAAUAUUUAAUUUGAAUUUCUUGAUUUUUUGUUAUCCAGUUUUCCUCUUGGAGUACACUCAGAAUUUCUCAGACCACCUAAAUUGGAACUUCUGCCUCUAGAUGAAAGAUAUUCCAAUUACAUUUUGCAUUGCUUUAAAGCUGUUUGAGAUCAAAGUUUAGUAAUUCUUUGGAACUAUGUCUGCUACUGUGAGACUAUGAAAAUAAGCAUGAAUGAGAACAUGACUUGGCAGUUCUUACAGGCUGUGAAAUUUCAGCACCUUACUUUCUGAGCAUCUGCCUUUGCAAUAGCGGAAACAUUUUGCUUUGCAGCGUCAUAACUCUUCUACUGUUCCACCUUUUCUUUUCAUGACUUUAUGGGAAAUUACACUGGUUUUAGGAGCACAGUUGUACUGUGUGUACUCUACCUUGGUCUCUCCACUUCAUAAAUCAUCUCUACAUUUUUAUCAAAGACGAUGUCAGUUCAUUCCUUACCUUCACUCCUUGGCCAAGACUCUCAAGUGAAUUAAUAUCCAGACCUUCCUUGCAGGCCUGCAAACAGGAAAUCACUUUCUGACUCUCAAUUUUUCCAGGACGGAUAGUAAGACUGGCUAGGCUGCCAUGGAAAUACUGAGCAAACCUAGGCUUGGUGACUUCACCUCCUGCAAGAAAGAAAACGUAAAAUGAUUAUUGUUACCAAUACAGAAAACAUAAAUCAAAUAAUUCAUGUUUUUUAACAUGCACUUCAAGAGUUGAAAUCAAGUUUAGCCAAUUGCUUUUGGAAUUCCAUUUAUUUUGCUAAGUAGAAUUGCUUUGGUUGUUGGAUUGUAGUAGCUACCUGUCUUUAAGAUUACUGUCAGCUUACAAAGCUGUCAUAACAUACUUUGAGAUGAAAGAUGACUUCCCAAACCUGUGCCCAAGGAAGCAGAGCCUUUUCAAAAAUGAAUUAAUGAUAUUAUUAGAGUGAUCAAACAUGAAUUUCAAAACAUGUUUGAGGCCUUACAUUUAUUUAUGCAGAGACUGUAUCUGCAAGUUCUCUACUACAAGUUUUUACUCUUUUAUACAGCCUUUAUCUUUUUUUCCUCCAAAUUCAACUCUGACAGACCUAGAUGCGCUCUGUGUAAACAAUGUGCCAUAUUCUCUACAAACUAUUGUCUCCAAGAACAUGGUAUAAAUUCAGAGCAUUGACUGCACACUAAUGCACAGCAUUGUGCUAAAAGGCUUACAGUAUCUUACCCAAACAAGCUUGUUUUGUGCUAGAUGAGGUCCCAUCACAGUACACUGCACUAGACCCUCUAGCUGUGCUCUAUUCAGCUUCACACUAUGCUGCUUCAAAGGAAGGCUGAUCUUUAGGAGUUGUCAAUAAAAUGUGAUUAUAUACUGCCUGCAACAGUGAUCAUAGCAUCUAAAUUACUCUUGGGAUAUUUAGUGAUUUACUCAUUCCCCUCUAAGAGAAUUUUUAGAGCUUGCUUUUCCUGCAGCGUUAGCUGAAUUGGUGCUUGUGAAUUACUGCCUACCUUGAGCCUGAGAGGACCAAGAAAGCCACGCAGUAGUGAAGCUGUGCAGACUAAUUGCAUUAGCAGUGGAUAACCUGCUGUAAUUGUUAGAUAACUCAUCUUCACAGUGUUUGUAGCUUUAGUUCCCAAUAACCUAUUUCUGCCAGGCAAAAUACCUCAGGCUUGAACUUUAACUUGAAGAUUUGUGUGUGGAAUAGUGUAAGAAUAGGGGAUAAAGUGGCAACUGUAGUUUAGGCUGAUGUUACUGCCUGAAAGCCAUCUCUUUUGAUCUGUGCAGGAUAAGCACAACAUUUUCCUUAUGUAUUAAGGAGAACAAUACGCUGUUGUGCAGAGAGUAAGGAAGGUGUCUAGGCAUGCUGUUUCUUCACAGAAGCAGACAUUUCUUUUAUGCUAAGACUACAGUACAAACUGCUGCUCUUUCUACUUCAAAGAAAGAUCCUCAAAGAGAUUAUGUUUUUUCUCCUCUUUCAUUUGUCUGUCAGUUAUACAGAAAACUUCUUCUGGGCCAAAUUUUUUAGAGGUUUCAUAGAACCUUUCACAUCUGCAACAUCUGAAGCAAAGAAUCAGUCUGUACUGUAAAUUAGGCCUUAUCAAGAUAAUUAACUGAUAAAUAGUUAGUACCCUACGUGGUUGUUAGGUCUUCCCAAAAAUGUCAUUACAUUUAUGUAUUUGAAUUGCCUAUUUCCACUAAUAAUAUAACAACAAUGUACCUGAUGAUAAGAUGACAAAACAGGUGAAACCUUACAGAAGAAAGGAAAUGUUGUGUUUUGAAGUUUCAUGUUCUCAUAUCCUUAACAUAGUUCUGAAGACAACAAGUUCUAAGGUUAAAACCUUACGUUUUAAAAUUUAGAAACAUACAGUAAAUGUGCCAGCAAAUCUUAACAGUUCUGAUGAGAUGCAAAAUGAGAAGCAGUCUCAGAUAAGCUAAUGUAUUUAAAUAUUAAACUAGUUCCUUAAAAUGUAUGAAGGAAUAGACCAGAAGCUAAAACAAAGAAUUCGGCGCUAUGGCUAUCUCUGGCAGUACAAGCAAUAUAAACCAGCUGAAAUGAACCUACAGAUCUGCAUGACUGGUGCCUACAUCCAUGCAUAGAAAUUUCAGGUAUUAAUUUAUUAUUUUUUUUCAGUUGUUAUUUCAUUUCUGACUAAUUUGUCUCAGAUGCCAUCAAGAAAAAGCAUUUAUUCUUGGUUCAAACGCGGUAGGUACAUGGCUGGUGUGCACAGCCAGUUAGUUUCCUCCAGCAGGAAUCCAGUUCAUGUGCCCAAACACUGGUCCAUGUGGACAACAGCAGAGGACUGGGGAUGAUCAGGGGAUUGUUAAAAGUGUGCUCCUGAUCCAAAGUGACACGCUAAUGUGGAUGUGCAAAUAUAGCAGCUCUGUAAGUGGUUAUCUUCAGUCUGUGAGUAGAAAAAUAGCUGGGAAUAGCCUACUGUCCUGUUGUAUCAGUAGAGAAAUAUACUAAACUAUGCUGACAGUUACAGCAGGAUGAUUCAUACUAGGACAGUUGCAGCGUAACAGCUGAUAGCAGGAUCUGAAGGGACACUGGGGGAUGACCUAGUCUGUCCAGUAGCCCCAAGAAAAUAUCAGCUGUACUCCACCAUUCUAGAGAAUUGCCAGAGAGGUUCUAACCUCUUCUGAAGACAAAGGUUCCUGAAGCAGUCUACUCCAUUGGUUACUGAUCUUUAUAGGGUUGAAAGCUUAUUCAUAAAGAGAAUGUUAGCUAUCAAAAUAUUACCAUACUUUUCCCUCUGACAGGCUAACCAAGGUCUUUCCUAUAACUGUUUCCACCUAGAACUGUAGACUCUAAUCAUCCCUCUUGCUUUCCCCAGAAGUACUGCUCUUAUUUGAAGUACUAAUCACAGCUUAGAGGUCUUCUGAAUGUUACGUGUCUCUUACAUAGGACAUCCCUGUUAAUUCAGGAUAGCAUGAAAAACUAGCUUUUUGCACAUGAAUAAACACGAGCAAUCAUAUAUGCACACUUAAAGAACAAGUACUGUCUUACACAUAAUUACAAAGAAUAGGCUGCCAAAUAAGCUUUUCAUAAGCACCUUUUGCCAGAGCCAAAGACAAAAUGAUAUACCUGCUAAUUUUAUCCACUAAGGUGAAUAGAUGUCGUUACAUCUGACUCUUACCACAGCGCUUGUAAAUUGCACCACGUUGACAUUUUCAUAUUCUUCUACAUCAGCAUUUCAGAAUCUUCUCAGCUUAAGAGGGUACGUUAGCUUGAUGUGUUUCAAUAGUCAGCAAAUUAUCAGUCCCGUACAGCCCGAACAAAUAGAACUCAACUCCACGAAGGCGGUACAGCAGCAUUAAGACCUUCAUAAUAAAUAAAAUCCUAACUCCUCAAUUGCCUAGCAUCAUGUGUUUCACACAGCUGUUUACUGAUUGAUUAAUAUUGAUUAACAUUAAUUCCUGGGGGAUACUUCAGGAGUGAACAAUAAGGGAAAUGCUAAGUGUCCUUACUGUCAGUCAGGGGGUUAGGUUGAUGUCCACAACACACAAAAGGCCGAAAAAACCUUCUAGAACAAUGCCACUUACUUAUCCUCAUUACAGACCAUUACAGAUGCGUUACAAAUCUCAGCUGCUGCUUUUAUCACACACUCUUCACACCAAAACAUUCAGAAGAAGGGCCCUGCUAUGAUCUUCUGAUCACCCCACUGGUUAAAACCAUUCUAACAGGCAAUUGUUCCAAGAAAGAAACAGCUAAGAUAUAAUAUAGGCACAGGGCUUAGAAAAGACUGCCAGAAGAAAACAAGAGCUGCUACUGGAAUUAUCUAGACAACUAGAACUGCCUGGGGCUACUAAUGCACCAUGCUAUUGGUCUCAGUUUCGAGGCAGGAUUAGGCAGGGGCACGUCAUACACUGGGUGCCCUUCCCAGUCCCUUUGGGACUACUUGUGAAUUUUAUUUCUCUCUUGUGCUACUCACACUGGUACCCGUACUCUCACCAAGCGCACCACCACAGCACACUACAGUAGGAUGCACAGGGUAGAGGAGGAUGCACACCCCACAAAAGGCCAUGUGCUGCACCAACACAGUCCUCAGUGAAGUGAAGAAGCUGCCAAUGAAAGCAAUACUUCAGAAUAUUACUGUAUUUGGCAUAUAUCCCAACAGUCACAAGCAUAGGUACCACGGGUGCCCAAAACUGCAAACACAAUAAACCAAAUGUAGAAUUAACAGACAAAAUUUCAGAUGCAUAUGUUGCAAAUGCCUGUCCUGCUUGUGGGCUGAUCAGCUGGGACAAAUCCCUUACAGACAUGGAGAAAAACAAAUGCUCCCAGCAUACAUUUCACCACGUCCUAAACAGCAAAAAUGUCUCUGUAAGUCACAAUUCUGGGGUUAAGGACUGUCAUCUAGCAAGUCCUUUCUGAUCCCAGCCACGGGGAGGUUCAGUUAUACAUGUCACUGGACAAUUCAGGGGAACCUAAAGAUUCUCAAGGUUCAGACUUCAUAGUGCUAAAGUGCUUUCAUUAAUGAAAUACAAGAUAUUUUCUUAAAGCUUUUUUUUUUUUUUUUCAAAUAUCACUUUGGAUUGAUAAAAAGUGUGACAGAAUUUGGCAACCAUUGAAUUUCACAGUUGCUUUGUUUUGAUGUUGGAGAGACACAAAGGGCUGUUUCUAUUUGCAUGCCAAUCUCCAAGGCACAGUCAUACCUUUCAAUCUCAACAAGUCCUGUUAUUGAGUUCAUAGAUCUUUUAGGCCCUUCUGCCAUACCCUAAUAAUGAGAAGUAAUUAUCAGGGCAGCCUAAGCACAGUGAGGUUUUCACUGGAAAUGAUGACUCAAGAUAAAUUCCAGCUGAGAUGUGAUUCUUCUGAGGUGUUAUAAAGUCUGGUUAUACUGCGCCAGAUAAUUAAUCGACCAUCGAUUACUCAGGGUCCCACCAGAAAGACUGAAGUGAAUCUGGGGAGCAGCUGCUGCGAGACAAUUUGGCUCUGAAUGCCUCAGGUCCAAGUCUCAGAUUUUAUCCCAUCUCCUUAUUACAGCAGUUCAGGGAGUGGAGUUUAACUCCACAUCAAGUGGAUUGGCUGUUUAACAAGAGAAGCCUAACAUAGAUUUCAGGUGGAGUCACAAUUACAGACAAAAGCUUUUCUUUUUUAAAUAUUAUUCAUUCAGCUAAAAAUAACUCAGCAAACCUUGGCUUUCAGUAUUCUGCUCUUGGUAGACAUCAUAACUAUCAUAACCUGAUGACCUUAUGCAGAAAGCUCUGGCCUUUAAAGCAUUAUGGGAAAUAGGACAAGUACAGAGAAUGCUGAGGGCUCCUUCUUAAGUAUUUAUAUACUAACUUAUCUCUAUGCAAUAGGUCCAUAGAUCAAAAGGAUUGUAUAAAUUAUGCCACUUAAGAUAAUUUCUCUCAAGAUAGAGAAUACUCUAUAAUCUCUCACAAUUAAGCCAGUGAAUACUUACUAUGUACAUAAUCACAGAAAACUGUUAAUUUUAUUUACUUUAGACUAAACUACAGUCCAUGCUAUGCUAAUGUUGCAUGAAGAAAUGAGAUCCCUAUUUCUCAAAUAACGUCCCUAUUCUGUUGCAUUGCAGAAAUGUCCCAGUGCAGAAAUACAAUUAAAUAAGGGACACAUAUCUAUACUGAAUAGAUAGAUUUGAAUACAAAUUCAGAUUUCCAAGAAAAUACCCUCCUACAAUAGCCUUUCACAUAUGUUUAUGUUUCUGCUGCAGCCAAAAUUCCAUGAUCUUUGAAGUGCGCUGAAAUCUGCGCAUCUCAUCUUGCGAUGAGAAGAGCAGUAGAGAGAAAAUACUGCUGUGCUAAGUGAAGCAUUGGUAUACAGACAUUCAGUGUCACAUUAUAUUGAAAUCUGCCAAGGUGGUCUUGCAUUAACUUUUAUGCUUGUCUCACUCCACUGAUGCCCUGGCUUGGUGCAACCUACAUCAUCCGCCAGGGCAUUAUCCACUAGGGUUAGGAUGCACUUCUGGGGGAAGUCCAACACCGAGUGAUAUAGGACGCUGCUGCUGUACUGCCCACAUUAUGGCCCUCAGUGAUCUGAUCCCUCUCAGGCUUCUAAUUCUUACCAUACCUCUUGCCUUGAAGAGUAAAUAGUUUAUCUGACUGCAGCUUUGUGAUUGAUAUGUCAACAGAGUGCUCAGAAGAUAACGUUAUUCCUCAGGAGAAUUCUAAAAAAAAAAUUGGUUUCCAGUGUAGAUUAAGGAGAGAGGAAAACAACAGGAGAAUACAAAAGAAAAAUAGAACAGAAAACAGAAGUUAUUUAGAAAACAGAUGUUACAGUAGCCUUCUGCUAUAUUCUCAGAGUUUGCCUGUUGACAGACUUCUUCUAAAGACCUUCCCCUGCACAAUGUGACCAGCAUAAAUUAAUUACAAUGCGAAGUAGUCCAGCACUUUAGAAUGGGUGGCAUUAUUAGAAAUUACUUACAUUCAUGGUAAGCUACAGUAUAACCUUGUGACAAGUCAUUAACUUCUGUCACAAAUUUCCUGACAAGACUCUGGGAAUGCUACGUAAACAACCCAUUCUCAGAGGGUGAAGGUAUGAACUGCAGACUUUACCUUUUCAAAGACAACUGGAGGAAGUCUGUUCACAGUCUGUGGUAUGAAAAAUAACUAGACUACCUAAUCAUGUAAUUUGCUCUCUUCUGGCUGCCUUUGCCACUGAAUGAUUAACAACAAAGGGAUCAGAGUGAGAACGUAUAAACCUUGGGUUAAUGGAAGAAAUUUCUUACUCUGUAAAAAGGUUCAUUUGCUAUGUUCUCAGAUAAACUGAAUCAAAAACAAUGAACUCAAAUGGAGAACUUACCAGGGAAAGGUCCUGCAAUGUGCAGCUUCAGCAUAAGCUAACAUUAAUUUGUUUGUACUGAUUAGGAGAAUGAAAUAAUUGUAAAAGCUAGAAGGAGGAAUAAGAACAAUCUGAUGGUCAGUCAGCAGAUACAGAUCUGUUUUUUGUGACCCGCGUAAAAUUCACAUACCCUCUUGAUGCUGCACUUCACUCUCAUUCUUAUAGAGUAAGAAAAAUUAUAAUUCCUUGCUGCAGAAUUGUGUUAUCUCUUCACUGUUUGGAAAAAGCACAAGACUUUUAAGUUGGAGGACCUAAUCUACGGGGAAAGUUAUUUUUUAUUGUUGCAGUAGAGGACUUUUAUAUGGACAGCACUUCUCUGCCAUGGAAAGUAAAUGAUGAAGGCCAGAUUAACAAUUAAUUAAUUUAAAAGCACUAUCUCUAAUAUGUGCAUCCAAUAGAUGGCCCAUAACGCAACAGUUGUCCCAGGCCAUAUGACACCCUACUCUGAGCAUCCCCUGAAGGAUGCAUCAGCCACACAUCAGUAACACAGCAAAGGCAGCAGAACUUCCUAUCUUAAUCUAACAACAAUAUCCCCCAAAUCCUUACACAAUUCUAAUUACUAUCAAAAAGAAAUGAAAAAUAGAAAUCUCACUUGUUGUUUGCUAUACCUUCUCAUACAGCCCUGCAUAAGAACUGCUGUAUUGUUGUUGCAACUGCAAAAUGGUUUUAUUUUUUUCUUUCCCAGCUAUCUGCCUGCCAACACCACAACAUAUAAUGCCAAUAGAAUCUGUUCAGGAAGGAGUUUCAAAUGCAUCCAGUUCAGUUUGGUUGUGUAAUUUUUAAUCUUAGGUCACAUGUACUAUAUAUUAAAUGAAGUAAUAUAAAUAGUUUAGCCUAAAGAUGCUUUAACUGCUACUCCUAAAUAAACUAUCCCACAGAGGCAGAGUAGUAUUAAAUGUGAACUACAUUAAAAACUGUGAGAGAUUUGCUAGAAUAUUAUGAUAGGACCUUAAAUUAAGGCAGCAGCCCUGCCUAGAUCUUCCCCUAUAAGGAACUCCCUGAAAAAAGAACAAAAGCUUUUAGACUAUACUAAAAAGAAAGACAACAACAUCAAGGAUACCUAAUUUUAAGUAGAAAAAAUUAGUAUUCUGAUUAUGUGAAAACAAAAUGUAAAAAAAUAUUUCUACAACUUUUCGCAUGCAUAUUUUAACUACACAUGUGUUGUUAAAGCUGGAAACUAGCCACCAGGCUUGCUUUUAGGUAAGUCACUGACUUCCUGGGCUGCAUUAAGCUUUACUCAGUCUCUGAUAAAUGAAGUUAGAGUUGAUGAACAGUUUGAUAGGUAUUUCACAAGAUACUUUUAGCUAAAAAAAAAAAAAAAAAAGGAAUAAGAUUGCCUUAGACUUUUAGUACCUUACAAUAAUAUUAAAGGUAUUCUGUUGUAUAUUCAACAUUAAUGGAAUACUGCAAUUAACUUAAUUAAGUUCAUCCUGUGGAGAUGAAAGGGUGCAAAUAUCAGUUAGGUAAGGAAGGAUCAGUGUAUAUUUGUACAUAUAUAUAGGUGUAGUAUCACGGUGAUUAACUACCUAUCAGAAUACUCACCUGAGUUCAAAAUGUAUCAAAUCUUGAUUUUACUAAUAGUGUGGCUUUAUUCUCCAUGUUGCCACCAAAAUAAAGACUGGACCUUUAUCCCCAAGGUAAUGAUAAUCUAACAACUGGAUUUGCUUCUAAUGUUACUGAAUAGCUGAGCAGCUGAAUAGCUCUGGCAUACAUAAGAUGCCCAAAUUUUUCAAACAAAAUACCGUGCAGAAAUCCAACUGGCAAACAAGUUAACAAGAAGAGAGAAAGUGAACCAUCAUUAAAGAGCGGUGAGGAAAUAAAAUCUAUGCGAAAGCAUGUUUUCCUAAUUGUACAGUUUGCUUCACACCAUGCUUCUUGAUUGUACGAAGUGAAAACGACACAGCAUAAACAAAAGUUCAACACAGAACAGUAACGAAGAGAACUUAACAAGAGCAGAUAAGCAAAAAAGGACAGUUUCAAGUGAAAGCAGAGAACAGAAAAGGAAACAGAUGUUGGUUGUAUAAAAAGUGUGAAAAAAGAAAUAUUAUAAAAGGUAGAAAACAGGAAAAACUAAUAUUUAAGUGAAGGCCCAGAUAAGUAUGGCUCUGGAGUAAGACUUUCGGGUGUACUUUAACCUCACUUUUAUAUCUGGUCUGUAACAGAGUGAAUUGAUUAAAUCAGUGGGAAUCAUGGUAAUAUACCAUGAUGUGGUAGAAUCACCACCCCUGGAGAUGUUCAAGAAACAUUCAGAUGUUGUACUAAGGGACAUGGUUUAGUGGGAAAUAUUGGCGAUAGACGGACAGUUGGACUCGGUGAUCUUAGAGAUCUUUUCCAACCUUGGUGAUUCUAUGUGAAGAAUGCAGAAAUGGUCCAUAAGUAGUGAAAACAAAAAAAAAACCAACAACAACAACAACAAAAUAGACAGAGAUUGAACAACAAAGAAACCAGCAGAGAUUGAAAGAGGGAGAUAAGUAGAGUUGCACAUUAGACUACUAUUUAGACAGUUUGCUUAAAGUUGGACAUUAAGGGAAGUAAUUAAAAAUAGUGAAGUCAAAUGAUAAAGAUGAUAAUAUUUCAUAUUAAAUAUAUAAACUGGAUUCAACACUUCUUUAGAUGGUGGAAUUGCAAAGCUUGCUAAUGUCCUGCUUUUAUCCUUGGACUUGAUCAAUGAUUAACCUGGAUUUACUUCUCUUUUUAUACCAUAAACCUUUUAGUAACUAUUUCACUAUUCAAGUAGCAAGACAAAUGAAAUUCCAUCUUGAAUUCAUAAUACUACUAUCUACUGUCACAUUACCUUGCCAGCAAGCACCGACUGUCAGCUGCAUGGCUAUGUGUGAAGGGUGGAUAGGCCAAUCGUUGGUCACAAGGUAAGGUUCAUAUGUUGAUCCAUCCAUGUAUAAGGUAACAACAGGAAACUCAACAUUGACAACAUAGUAAUGCCAUUCUUUAUCACAAAUCUGAAAGACAGAAUGUAAGAGAAGGAUUAAUUAGCAUUUACUGACUGGUGACUAAUUUUGACACCCCAUACACUUUCAUAGUUGUACAGUUUCUAAAUUGCACUCAGGAAAAACAGUUGUUGCAAUUUAUACAUUGUUAAAAUUAAUGGAAGUAUAAAACUAUUGUGAUAAAUGCAUAUAUUAUACAUGUAAAAUAUAUUUGGUAAAAAAGGCAUUUUAAAGCACACUGAGAACAAGGCAUGGCUGAAACAAACAAAAAGACUACUUAUUUGCUCAGUAUUUUUGCUUUUGUUAAUACAUAAAAUUAGUUUCUUAAUAUCCAUAUCCACGUUUCAGAAUACAAAAUAGUAUGUAAGACGUGUGUACUUGGUAUGUUUUGGCAGUUACUGGAGGUCCUUUUUAGCUUCAAUUUAAGAAAAUACAUAGCACUUAGAUACUAGAUUAAUUAUUAUCAAUGCCAUGAUUCACUGACUAUCACUAACUGUUGCACUGGUAUUGAUAAAGUCCUGUUCAGUGCUAGGAUUUCUGUUGUGCUCUGUACACACACAUAUGAACUGAGUUCAAGCAGCCUCAGGCAGGCAACCCAAAUCUUCUCCAUGCUUCUUGUUUUAAUCUGUUGUUUCACAUAUGGAUACACAUCACAUCAUAUGGAUACACAUAUGGAUACACAUCAGUUUUGAAAAGCAGCAGCCACAGUUACACUGUACUUUCAAGGAAUGGACUGAAAUCAAACUACUCUGGUCUGAGAAGCACAUGGCAAUCAGGAGGAGUUCCGUGGUCUGCAAAGCAUCUCUUUUAUGACUUCAUACAUAAGGACCAGAUAUGCACACAUGAGAACAUGCCCUUUACAGCUCAGAGAUGUUUUCUAGCCUUGCUUAGCUCACCUGGGGCAUCUGUUUGGCUAGACAGGCAAAGAACCUGUACUGCAAGAAGUGCCUCAGAUCAACAGCAAACAUUCACAAACCUCUGAGUAGGUUUCUGAAAGCCCCUUUUGUUUUUAUGUUUUUGCCAGUUAUGUUAGGCAGACAAGAAGUUCAGCCACACGAAGAGCUGCACACAUCCUGCCAGUGCUACCUACUGCCUGUUUUGGGUCUAUUCCUUUAGAGUUGAGAAAGCAGUUAUUAUUUCCAUUCCAUCUAUCAAAUGUGUGAAGCUUUAAGUUUAUACUCCUUUCAAGGAAAGAUUAGAUAUUCUGUAUUUAUAUCAUUUUGGUAAGAAUUAAAAGCCUGGAUAGUCUCAAGAAUGCAACAGUCUGUGCAUUCAUUUCAGAUCUGCUUCAGAUCCUGUAUUAGAAUCCCAAAUUAUUGGUUUAAUUCAAUCAUGGCAUUUUGAUGCAGACAUACUUUAGUCAUAAAUGAGAAAGUUAAACAAGCAAACAAAAAAACCCACAAGGUGAACAGAAUGGAAAAUUUAUAAAUGCUAUAAUGCUUUCAACCUAACUGGCACGCUUUCCCAUUUUUUCUCUCGCUGUCAUUAGGGUGGCAUCAGCAUAGCAGUACACGCUCUGAGUUAACUAAGUUGCUCAGUAUUCUCUGACAGGAUUUGCCACGUCAGGUAUUUGCAAGCAGCACCAGAGGAAUUUAUUCACUAGGCAACAGCCUCAUUCUUACAUUUCUGAUAUGCAGCCAUCUCAUCUGAUUUUCUCUUUUCCCUUACUGCUACUUUCAGUAUCUCAUUUUUUCACCUACAGCAUUUAAUCUAUUAUAGUAUCUUAAAUACCAAUCUAUACAAAAUCAAAAACAUCACUAACCACUGGAGUCUCUGAUUUUGUCCUGUCCCCUUUCUCAGUUUUGUUUUUGCUAACACAUUGCUAACAACCUGGUCAGCUGACUGCCUCAGGACCUUUCACUCACACAAGGAUUAUGCUUAAUUCCAGUCUUAAUAACAGAUUCAAAUUUGAAUAGUUUCACAUCAAAAGAACCUAUUAGCCAAAGUGAAUCCUAAGCUAGGUGAGAACAUUAGUACUGUUGUGAUGAUGCUCAUGUUCAAAAGGCAAAUGCCAUUGGAAACGUCUGUGGUGCUAGGGAACCUCCUCCAGGGGCCCUAAGCUAUACACCUGGGCUGAAGAAGAGAUACACUUCUGACAGUGACUUCUGUGCAAAAAAAAUUGAAAAUAAGGUGGUUAGUUAAGGAGAGUGUCACAGUCAUUGCCAACAGCUGGGCUGGUGAAACCAAUCUGAGAUCCGCUUUCAUUUCUGUCAGCCUGGAGGGGUUUUAAAUCUGCUAACACAGAGCAUAACAUAUUGAAAGUGAAUAACAGAUAGACAGAAAUUGCAAAAGUAUUUAAUUUUCCUCCUCCCUUUUUCGUUUAAUGGAGAAAUUCUAUGCAUUAGUUCCAUUAAACUUUUAGAUUAAUUAAUUCGUAAUUGAAUUCUUAUCAACAGAGAUGACAUAAAUUGGAAGAAAAAAAAAAAGUGCAAUGUUGUUUCUUCAGCCUAACCUUCCACAACAUAAACCAUCCUGCUUCAACUGAUGAAUGCAUAUGUCGCUCAAGGACAUACUGGCCUUUGAGAACCGUGACUGUCUCUAAGACCACGGAGCACUUGAAUAGCUGUCUUUUCUUCAUUACAGAUGAAUUCUGUGUCCUUUCAUUAGAUUUAUUUUCUGCUUCAGUGUUUCAAUGAGUUAAACAUUUUACUCAGACCACUCUAUACUAGAUGAAGCUAUUAUAUUCAUUGAAAGCAAAAAUCUUAACACUGGAAAAAUUGCUUUAUUGUAAAGGAUGUCACUAUAGAGCUGAUGGGGUCAUCAUCAUGAAAACUUUGUAAACAUGCAGGGAUCACUGAGGCUCUGUAUUUUAAACUCAUUCCAUGAAAGAAGACAACAAAUUGAGGCAAUCUCCUUUUGAUCUUAUGCUUUAGCAUUGUCCACUCUGUUGUAGCACCCAGAUCUGCCCUGUUCAGAAAGCAGCCCCCCUGCUUCAAAGCAGACAUCUCUUACCCUUGUUCACAGUACAGAAUAUAGAUCAUAUUUGAAUAGGUAUAUUAUUUUAAGUUUAAAAAGGAACACCACAUCUUUCUUCCUAUCUCCAAAAUAAUCCUUUCUGAAAGAGCUAUGUAAAAAUUUACAAAUUUUGUCACUUGCCUUUUUUUUUUUUUUUUGGCAACAUCAAAUAACCAUUAAAUGGCUUCAGUGUUUCUGCAUAGAAACAAGAUAAUAUUUUUACAGCAAUGUGCAGAAAGCACUGAACUGAAUAUAAACAGAGAGCUCAAAGGUAAAGAUUUAAAGAUUCUUCAGGACAGUUUCAUUGCAGCUCUGACAAGGACUUAAGGAAUCACAUUAAUGUAAGAACAAAAGGGUGAAAAAGAAAACCAAGCUAUUAAUUUGGAAAUGUGGCAGUGGAUUUCCAGUCAAAGCUAAAACGUUAUGCACAUUUGCAUACGUUGAUUUUUUCUUCAGAACAAUGUUGUACAUUUAUGUAUGUCAAAUGGAAAUAAAAUUUCCUGAGAGCUUUACGUAGUCUGUUUGUUAUGCAGAAGGUUACUGAGUUUUGCAUGAAGGCAGUGCAAAGGUGAGCACACACAAGGCUUUCUCCUGUCCCUCUCUGGGGUUUGUAGCUUCUGUCUCUGAUGAAUGGGAACUUGAAAAACAUUGUUCAGUGAGCUUUCUACUGUUACUUUAGAAACUCAUCUAGAAUAUUAACUGUUUUCCUGCUGUCAAUUCUCAUCCACAAAGUAAUACUAUUACGGCACAUUAGUCUGAGGAAAAAAAGUAAAAAAUUAUCUUAGAGCAUUGCUGUUGCUAUAAUUCCACUGCUCUCGAGGUUUUUUUUUUUAGUCUACAUUUCCUUUAAAUUCAAUAGCACAGCUAUCUGCAAAAACUGAUUAAGUGAUAUACGGAAAUAAGUUGCACAAUUGACUUUUCCUCUCUUUUCUGAUUGCCUAUAAGAACCUUAUGAUUUGUCUUUUUUCUUUCUUUUUUUUUCCUCCCCAUCACCACAAGACACACUGUUAUGAAUAUCCUAGUGUAGACUGCAAGUAUGUAAUUCAGGAUGUGCCUACUUGAAUGGAUACCUGGGAUACAUGUCCUGUAAUACAAUGAACACAAAUAUGUUUCCGUUGUGAAUAUGCAGACUUUACAGUCAAAAUUUGCUUUCAAGUUGCCUUUUUCCUACAGUGUAAUCAGCAAGCUUACGCAUUUUGGGGAAAAGCUGUUGGAAAUAAACAAAAGCAAAGUGCAAACACAGACUAAUCAGAUUCAUCUAGCAAUACAAACUGCUAUGCCUUGUAGCAUUAUUUAUUCUGCCCCAGUAAUAGGCUUUGCGCAUUAGGCCUUAUCUGUCCAUUCUCCCUCUGCCAUUAAAUUUUAACAUCCAGAUAUGUUGGCUUUAUUUAAUUUAGCACUGCAGAACUCAGGAUUUAAAAAUUUGAGGAAAAGGGUGACUGUAAUCUUGACCACUAAGUGGAGCUGUUCAGACUGCAAAUAGCUAAUAAAUCUACAACUCCCUAAUAACUCCACAGCCUCUUCAGAAAAUUUUAAAUGAUGCUCUACAAUAUUCACAUUAUGUCCUGGGUUUUUUAAAGAUUAUCUCUUUGGGUUUCCCCUUCGACAUUUAUUCUUUAGCAGCUGUUUCACAGUGCAGUUUUUUCACUCCGUAAAAUCAAUAUGCCCUGCUUCUGAACUGGCAAUAGAUAAAAGUAUGUGUGCACUAGUUAAGGCAGGAUGGAAGAAAAACACAUUGUAUGUAGGAAAAAAAAAACAAAAAGGAAUCAGUAUAUUCUCACAAUUUAAAUUAACAGGCAAUGGAUUGUGAAGUGGAACCACAAUUUACAAGUUCACUGCUUUUGUUCAUAAGAGUACUGUUGCACUCAUCCUCCAUAUAAAAAUUGCAGUUUGGAUCUUGAAUAGCCCUGCUCAGAUUUGAUCACAUAGCAUCUCUGAGCAAGUUCUGACAUUCUGACAGCUGGUGGCAGGCAGUGAAGGGAGAAAAAACCAACAGAUUGCUUUGCUCUGGACUAGUGCUUUUAUGCUAUGAGACUUGAGCAUCGCCCCUCUUACAGCUGUUUGUGGUAAUGUAAUUUGUACUCUUACGUGAAGAAGCUUUUCAUCACUACUAUCUGUAUUGGAACUUGGAUUUCCAUAAUACAUUUGAUGAUGUUAUGACAGCUUCAAUCAUAUAUGGGAGUAAAUUUUGAAAAGGAAAUAAACAUUUUUCUAUAUUUGUUUAAAAUUUAUUACUUAGAAUCAGCUCUGAGAGACCUUAACACAGCAUUUCUUCCAAUAUUUGCAUUUUACUGUCAUGUAAUUCUGAAAUUGUAAAGGCAUGCAUAUGACUGGUUGUAGAAUAAAGGAGAUUGAACACUGUA